rnacentral:lncRNA from 1 species
GAGGUGAAGAUACGCAGGACGUCCUCUAAAGCAACUUCCGUGGGUGCCAGGUUGUGGGCUGGGGGCGGUGCUGACCUUGAGAGAGCGGAGGAGGCGCAGGCGCAGCACAGUUUAAACUUGAUUUUGUGAGGGGACGAACAGCGUGACAAUUAAAAGAAGAUCUGGGAAUCAAAAGCUUCCUGAGGCCUUCACCAGAAGCAGAUGCUGGUGCCGUGCUUCUACAGCCUGCAGAACUGAAGGACUUUACAGCUUCUCUUUCGCAUAUCCAAAUUGCCAGCAUCACCGCUCUUGCACUCCAAGCCAUUAUUAAGUAAAGUAAAGAACACAAACACUGUGAUACUGCUACACUUGAUCUGAUAACCAAGAAGUCUACUAAGUGACUAACAGAGCAACUGGGAACCUAAUUCUGACCAAAAAGGAGGAAUUGUUUGGCUAAUUGGAAGUGACAGAAACCUUGGGAGAAAGCAACCGCAUACCAAGGAUAAUUAUAAGAAGAAGAGAAGACAUGGAGAAGAGGAGGGAGUAGUUGUGACCGUGGAGGCAGAGAAUGGAGUAAUGUGAUCAUAAAUCAAGGAAUGCUGACAGCCACUAAAGCUGGAGAAGGCCAAGGACAGAUAUUCAAUCCUCCCGUAGAAGUACAGCCCUGCUAAUGCAUUGAUUUUGGACUUCUGGCCUCAGAACUAUCCAAUGUGAUAAUUUAUGUGAAAUCUUUCUGCAAACUAUACAGUAUGAUAAAAAUAUAAGGUAGUUUCACUGGAAACAACAGAAGACUAGAAGCUGAUGUGACGUGGCAAUAUCAACCAGGAAUACCCAUCUCGAGUUCUGGAUAUGUGCUCUGAGAAGGUGCCCAUGUCACCGACCACACUGGAGGCCAAUGCAGAUACUGGGGGAAGGUUCCAUGGUAGCUAAGUGUGGACAAGCUAAUCACUGAAGUUCCCUGAUGCAGAGUUGAUAAUCUCUCUAGAGUUGGAUGAAAGACUGUGCUGCCUUGAAGCUCUGAGAGAUGCCAUGCCAAUUCAAGGCAGGGUCUUUAUUGUUGAAACUCUUGCGUAAUGACAUCUUUAUUCAGGUGAAAAUACAGGAUGAAUUUCAACUAUAUGAUAUUGUUUAUGUUCCUCAGACAUGUUAUUUGUCUUUACAAAGAUUGGUUUCAAUAAACUGUGUGACUGAUAUUAAAUAAACAUGGAAUUUUACACAUUCAUAAU